rnacentral:lncRNA from 1 species
GUCGUUUCCUUCUGUGCUGGCGGGGCUUGGGGGGCGUGUGGCACAUUCCUGGUGUUGGGGGCUGCAGGGGCUCGGCUCUCCCGGGCCCAGGAGACAGGUUAAGCCCUCAGUUUGUUGGGUAGCGAAGGCAGGUAGCUCAGGAAGGAGAGUUCACGCUUGUCUCAAGCAGCCUUGUCUCAUGCCGCCCUGGGGACCUGGAACAGUGGCCCAGGAGGUUGUGCUCAAGUGACAUUGAGGAGAAACUGUGUGAUUAUCCAGCUGUACUGACACCAUUAGGCAGCUUGUUCUGGAUCACAGUGGGACAAAAAGGAGAAGCAUCAAUUAAAACAUCACCAUGCUGGUUCAACAAUUCAGUUCACUUCUGCUGGUAA